UGCCUACGGGACGCAGCAGUGAGGAAUAUUGGUCAAUGGGCGAAAGCCUGAACCAGCCAAGUCGCGUGAGGGAUUAAGGCCCUAUGGGUCGUAAACCUCUUUUGUCGGGGAGCAAGACCCGCCUCGUGCAGGCGGAGCGAGAGUACCCGAAGAAAAAGCAUCGGCUAACUCCGUGCCAGCAGCCGCGGUAAUACGGAGGAUGCGAGCGUUAUCCGGAUUUAUUGGGUUUAAAGGGUGCGCAGGCGGACCAUCAAGUCAGCGGUAAAAUCGUGGGGCCCAACCCCAUCCCGCCGUUGAAACUGGCG
rnacentral:rRNA from 1 species